AUCCCUAAUGAGAGCUAUUUUCAUUAAUUUUUCGAAAAUGAUAAUAUCUCUGUGUUAGGGUGA
rnacentral:pre_miRNA from 1 species